GACGAACGCUGGCGGCGUGCCUAAUACAUGCAAGUCGAACGCAGUUGCGAACGGGUGAGUAACGCGUAGGUAACUGCCUGGUAGCGGGGGAUAACUAUUGGAAACGAUAGCUAAUACCGCAUACUACCAGCUGGACCUGCGUUGUAUUAGCUAGUUGGUGAGGUAACGGCUCACCAAGGCAACGAUACAUAGCCGAGCCGGGAAGGUGGUCGGCCAAACUGGGAAUGGGGCACGGCCCAGACUCCUGCGGGAGGCAGCAGUAGGGAAUCGUCGGCAAUGGGGGGAACCCUGACCAAGCAACGCAGCGUGAGUGAAGAAGGUUUUCGGAUCGUAAAGCUCUGUUGUUAAGGAAGCGGUACCGGAAGAGAAAGCCACGGCUAACUACGUGCCAGCAGCCGCGGUAAUAC
rnacentral:rRNA from 1 species